rnacentral:rRNA from 1 species
AGUCGAACGAAGCACUUUAUUUGAUUUCCUUCGGGACUGAUUAUUUUGUGACUGAGUGGCGGACGGGUGAGUAACGCGUGGGUAACCUGCCUUGUACAGGGGGAUAACAGUUGGAAACGGCUGCUAAUACCGCAUAAGCGCACAGCAUCGCAUGAUGCAGUGUGAAAAACUCCGGUGGUAUAAGAUGGACCCGCGUUGGAUUAGCUAGUUGGUGAGGUAACGGCCCACCAAGGCGACGAUCCAUAGCCGACCUGAGAGGGUGACCGGCCACAUUGGGACUGAGACACGGCCCAAACUCCUACGGGAGGCAGCAGUGGGGAAUAUUGCACAAUGGGCGAAAGCCUGAUGCAGCGACGCCGCGUGAGCGAAGAAGUAUUUCGGUAUGUAAAGCUCUAUCAGCAGGGAAGAUAAUGACGGUACCUGACUAAGAAGCACCGGCUAAAUACGUGCCAGCAGCCGCGGUAAUACGUAUGGUGCAAGCGUUAUCCGGAUUUACUGGGUGUAAAGGGAGCGCAGGCGGUGCGGCAAGUCUGAUGUGAAAGCCCGGGGCUCAACCCCGGUACUGCAUUGGAAACUGUCGUACUAGAGUGUCGGAGGGGUAAGCGGAAUUCCUAGUGUAGCGGUGAAAUGCGUAGAUAUUAGGAGG